rnacentral:rRNA from 1 species
GACGAACCUUGCUAACGUUAUUCGGAAUUACUGGGCUUAAAGGGUGCGUAGGCGGUGCAGAAAGUUGGGUGUGAAAGCCCUCGGCUCAACCGAGGAAUUGCGCCCAAAACUGCUGCACUAGAGGAAGACAGAGGUACGCGGAACUUAGGGUGGAGCGGUGAAAUGCGUUGAUAUCCUAAGGAACACCGGUGGCGAAGGCGGCAUCCUGGACCGAGAUUGACGCUGAGGCGCGAAAGCCAGGGGAGCAAACGGG